rnacentral:lncRNA from 1 species
GCCAGUCGCGGCGCAGCGCUGGCGUCCGUUUCCCCCUGAGGCUCAGGUCUGGACUUUGGUGAUGUCACUUGCCCCUCCUGCUCCGUGUAUCCUAUCAUCCUAAAGCUGAAAGUACCAGGAGCACAUUCCUUGGCAUUCAGCAAUCUGAUGACAUUCCAGACGAGAGGAAUUUUGGACAUCUGUGUAAAUCCUGCAAUCUUAUAGCUGGUGCAAACAAAAUGGAGGAAGAAGGAAGGACGGUAUGGUUGGAGAGGCAGUUUGUGAGAUCUGAGAGCGCUGAAUUGUUCCCAAGGAUUUUGAACCUGUUCUUCUGCUUCAGAAAGAGACCCAUUGAUGAGUCAAGGUUUUCAGGGCACUGGGUUGAUAAAGACAGCCAUGGGCCACCAACA